rnacentral:tRNA from 1 species
GGGUUUGUUUCCUAGCGGCUAAGGUACCGGACCCUUAAUCCGUGUUUCCGGGGGUUCGAGUCCCCCCAAACCCUCUA